rnacentral:rRNA from 1 species
GAUCCAGAGAUUUCCGAAUGGGGAAACCCAGCAUGAGUUAUGUCAUGUUAUCGAUAUGUGAAUACAUAGCAUAUCAGAAGGCACACCCGGAGAACUGAAACAUCUUAGUACCCGGAGGAAGAGAAAGAAAAUUCGAUUCCCUUAGUAGCGGCGAGCGAAAUGGGAAGAGCCCAAACCAACAAGCUUGCUUGUUGGGGUUGUAGGACACUCUAUACGGAGUUACAAAGGACGACAUUAGACGAAUCAUCUGGAAAGAUGAAUCAAAGAAGGUAAUAAUCCUGUAGUCGAAAAUGUUGUCUCUCUUGAGUGGAUCCUGAGUACGACGGAGCACGUGAAAUUCCGUCGGAAUCUGGGAGGACCAUCUCCUAAGGCUAAAUACUCUCUAGUGACCGAUAGUGAACCAGUACCGUGAGGGAAAGGUGAAAAGCACCCCGGAAGGGGAGUGAAAUAGAACCUGAAACCGUGUGCUUACAAGUAGUCAGAGCCCGUUAAUGGGUGAUGGCGUGCCUUUUGUAGAAUGAACCGGCGAGUUACGAUUUGAUGCAAGGUUAAGCAGUAAAUGUGGAGCCGUAGCGAAAGCGAGUCUGAAUAGGGCGUUUAGUAUUUGGUCGUAGACCCGAAACCAGGUGAUCUACCCUUGGUCAGGUUGAAGUUCAGGUAACACUGAAUGGAGGACCGAACCGACUUACGUUGAAAAGUGAGCGGAUGAACUGAGGGUAGCGGAGAAAUUCCAAUCGAACCUGGAGAUAGCUGGUUCUCUCCGAAAUAGCUUUAGGGCUAGCCUCAAGUGAUGAUUAUUGGAGGUAGAGCACUGUUUGGACGAGGGGCCCCUCUCGGGUUACCGAAUUCAGACAAACUCCGAAUGCCAAUUAAUUUAACUUGGGAGUCAGAACAUGGGUGAUAAGGUCCGUGUUCGAAAGGGAAACAGCCCAGACCACCAGCUAAGGUCCCAAAAUAUAUGUUAAGUGGAAAAGGAUGUGGCGUUGCCCAGACAACUAGGAUGUUGGCUUAGAAGCAGCCAUCAUUUAAAGAGUGCGUAAUAGCUCACUAGUCGAGUGACACUGCGCCGAAAAUGUACCGGGGCUAAACAUAUUACCGAAGCUGUGGAUUGUCCUUUGGACAAUGGUAGGAGAGCGUUCUAAGGGCGUUGAAGCAUGAUCGUAAGGACAUGUGGAGCGCUUAGAAGUGAGAAUGCCGGUGUGAGUAGCGAAAGACGGGUGAGAAUCCCGUCCACCGAUUGACUAAGGUUUCCAGAGGAAGGCUCGUCCGCUCUGGGUUAGUCGGGUCCUAAGCUGAGGCCGACAGGCGUAGGCGAUGGAUAACAGGUUGAUAUUCCUGUACCACCUAUAAUCGUUUUAAUCGAUGGGGGGACGCAGUAGGAUAGGCGAAGCGUGCGAUUGGAUUGCACGUCUAAGCAGUAAGGCUGAGUAUUAGGCAAAUCCGGUACUCGUUAAGGCUGAGCUGUGAUGGGGAGAAGACAUUGUGUCUUCGAGUCGUUGAUUUCACACUGCCGAGAAAAGCCUCUAGAUAGAAAAUAGGUGCCCGUACCGCAAACCGACACAGGUAGUCAAGAUGAGAAUUCUAAGGUGAGCGAGCGAACUCUCGUUAAGGAACUCGGCAAAAUGACCCCGUAACUUCGGGAGAAGGGGUGCUCUUUAGGGUUAACGCCCAGAAGAGCCGCAGUGAAUAGGCCCAAGCGACUGUUUAUCAAAAACACAGGUCUCUGCUAAACCGUAAGGUGAUGUAUAGGGGCUGACGCCUGCCCGGUGCUGGAAGGUUAAGAGGAGUGGUUAGCUUCUGCGAAGCUACGAAUCGAAGCCCCAGUAAACGGCGGCCGUAACUAUAACGGUCCUAAGGUAGCGAAAUUCCUUGUCGGGUAAGUUCCGACCCGCACGAAAGGCGUAACGAUUUGGGCACUGUCUCAACGAGAGACUCGGUGAAAUCAUAGUACCUGUGAAGAUGCAGGUUACCCGCGACAGGACGGAAAGACCCCGUGGAGCUUUACUGUAGCCUGAUAUUGAAAUUCGGCACAGCUUGUACAGGAUAGGUAGGAGCCUUUGAAACGUGAGCGCUAGCUUACGUGGAGGCGCUGGUGGGAUACUACCCUAGCUGUGUUGGCUUUCUAACCCGCACCACUUAUCGUGGUGGGAGACAGUGUCAGGCGGGCAGUUUGACUGGGGCGGUCGCCUCCUAAAAGGUAACGGAGGCGCUCAAAGGUUCCCUCAGAAUGGUUGGAAAUCAUUCAUAGAGUGUAAAGGCAUAAGGGAGCUUGACUGCGAGACCUACAAGUCGAGCAGGGUCGAAAGACGGACUUAGUGAUCCGGUGGUUCCGCAUGGAAGGGCCAUCGCUCAACGGAUAAAAGCUACCCCGGGGAUAACAGGCUUAUCUCCCCCAAGAGUUCACAUCGACGGGGAGGUUUGGCACCUCGAUGUCGGCUCAUCGCAUCCUGGGGCUGUAGUCGGUCCCAAGGGUUGGGCUGUUCGCCCAUUAAAGCGGUACGCGAGCUGGGUUCAGAACGUCGUGAGACAGUUCGGUCCCUAUCCGUCGUGGGCGUAGGAAAUUUGAGAGGAGCUGUCCUUAGUACGAGAGGACCGGGAUGGACAUACCUCUGGUGUACCAGUUGUCGUGCCAACGGCAUAGCUGGGUAGCUAUGUGUGGACGGGAUAAGUGCUGAAAGCAUCUAAGCAUGAAGCCCCCCUCAAGAUGAGAUUUCCCAACUUCGGUUAUAAGAUCCCUCAAAGAUGAUGAGGUUAAUAGGUUCGAGGUGGAAGCAUGGUGACAUGUGGAGCUGACGAAUACUAAUCGAUCGAAGACUUAAUCAA